CAGUCGCCGCGGUAAUACGUAGGGUGCGAGCGUUGUCCGGAUUUAUAGGGCGUAAAGCGAGCGCAGGCGGUUAGAUAAGUCUGAAGUUAAAGGCUGUGGCUUAACCAUAGUACGCUUUGGAAACUGUUUAACUUGAGUGCAAGAGGGGAGAGUGGAAUUCCAUGUGUAGCGGUGAAAUGCGUAGAUAUAUGGAGGAACACCGGUGGCGAAAGCGGCUCUCUGGCUUGUAACUGACGCUGAGGCUCGAAAGCGUGGGGAGCAAACAGGAUUAGAUACCCCAGUAGUCCCUGUCUCUUAUACA
rnacentral:rRNA from 1 species